GUGUCAGCAGCCGCGGUAAUACGUAGGUGGCAAGCGUUGUCCGGAUUUAUUGGGCGUAAAGAGUGCGCAGGCGGUUUCUUAAGUCUGAUGUGAAAUCCCACGGCUUAACUUGGGAGGGGCAUUGGAAACUGGGUGACUUGAGUGCAGAAGAGGAAAGUGGAAUUCCAAGUGUAGCGGUGAAAUGCGUAGAGAUUUGGAGGAACACCAGUGGCGAAGGCGGCUUUCUGGACUGUAACUGACGCUGAGGCGCGAAAGCAUGGGGAGCAAACAGGAUUAGAUACCCUGGUAGUCCACGCCGUAAACGAUGAGUACUAGGUGUUAGGGGGAU
rnacentral:rRNA from 1 species